GAUGAACGCUGGCGGCGUGCCUAAUACAUGCAAGUCGAGCGAACGGACGAGAAGCUUGCUUCUCUGAUGUUAGCGGCGGACGGGUGAGUAACACGUGGAUAACCUACCUAUAAGACUGGGAUAACUUCGGGAAACCGGAGCUAAUACCGGAUGAUAUUUUGAACCGCAUGGUUCAAAAGUGAAAGACGUUCUUGCUGUCACUUAUAGAUGGAUCCGCGCUGCAUUAGCUAGUUGGUAAGGUAACGGCUUACCAAGGCAACGAUGCAUAGCCGACCUGAGAGGGUGAUCGGCCACACUGGAACUGAGACACGGUCCAGACUCCUACGGGAGGCAGCAGUAGGGAAUCUUCCGCAAUGGGCGAAAGCCUGACGGAGCAACGCCGCGUGAGUGAUGAAGGUCUUCGGAUCGUAAAACUCUGUUAUUAGGGAAGAACAUAUGUGUAAGUAACUGUGCACAUCUUGACGGUACCUAAUCAGAAAGCCACGGCUAACUACGUG
rnacentral:rRNA from 1 species